GAUCUGAGAGAAUGUGUAGAUACAGCGUGAAGAGAGAGACGUUGUUCACUACACAAACAUGAGAUAGCGAAUGCGAUCAGCUGGGUUUGGUCAAAACACGGUAGUUUGACAGCUAGGUAACUGAUUUUGUAUGCGCAGGGGGCUUUUCGUUUUACCACGUUUUACAAGAUUUUGAUUAUCCUACUUGCGUUUCAACUUGUGUUUUGUGUUCUUGUGUAUGAAAUGCCUGCUACUUGUGCAGCAUAUGGCUGUACAAACCGCCAUAAAAAAGGGGGGAACAUUUCUUUUCACAGUUUUCCAAAUGAUGAAAGUUUGCGACGAAAAUGGGUAAUUGCCAUGAAAAGGGAACAUUUCGAACCGUCAAAAUAUUCGAAGCUUUGUUCAGAUCAUUUCAAAAAAGAUUUUGUUUUUACUUUUGGCUUAAAAACAUUAAAAUUGGGCACAGUGCCUACGAUUUUUAAUUUUCCAUCGCAUUUAUUAAAGAAGGAACCCAAGGAACGCUCCACUAGGCUCCGAAACUUUGAAAAUGAUGGUAAUUCUGUUGAGACGUUGGUUGAGACGGUUGUGACCAAUGUUGUGACAGAAUCAGAAACUGGCGUAUCUGAAGUAUCUGUGACCAGUUCUUCCACUUCCCAUCAAGAGCAGCAGCCAUCAACCUCCACGGUACCGGAAGAGACUUUAGAACCACAAUUCGUUUCAAAACAAGAAGGCACAAAAAGAAAAAGAAGUCAACCAAUAUAUGUAGGAGAUUUUUCUCAGGCUACUGAAACGAAUUAAGUCUUUGGAUCAAUUAAUUGAACAUUUAGAAACUACCAACAAAGUUUCGGCUGAUUGUCAUUCAAUUCUUAAGAUUUGAAUGGUUAUUGUAAUGAAUGGUUUAUCUGCAUGAUGGGAUUUUGCUUUGUUAUAGCUGAGGUUGUAGAGGCUUUUUGACUGAUAGUUUUGUAUUUUUUUUCAGCUUUUUUUUAUAAAGUAGCGUAGGUGGGUAACAAUUGUCAGAAGGACAUUUUUUUUCAGAAAUCGGGGGAUUAAUUUUUGUUUUGGGAGGGAUAUUACUCAAGUUUUUUUAGGACUGCGUUCCAAAGUCACAAGAACAACUGCUUUUACGCCAGCUGAAAUAAUCGCCAGAAAGAAAAUUUCCCCCAGAAUUAAGAGCUUUUGCACUUACUUUACAUUUUUAUUCUAGUUCAGCCUACAAUUAUGUUAGAAACACCUUUGGCAAAUGUUUGCCUCACCCUAACACUAUUACAAAGUGGUAUUCUACUGUUGAUGGUUCACCUGGAUACACUUCAGAGUCAUUGAACGCUAUUAAAAUGAAAGCCGACGAACUCCAACAGGAAGGAAAAAAUCUAGUUUGCUCUCUUAUAAUGGAUGAAAUGUCAAUUCGACAGCAUGUGGAAUGG